GUGGUCGAUCGCACAAGGCAGAGGGAAAGGGGUAAACCCUAAUUCUCAAGAAAUCUCCAAAUUGAAAAGGGAAUUGAAGGUUUUUAGGAUGCAUGUAUCAAGAUUAUCGAUCUCCUAAGUGUUCUUCACUAUCAAGAACGUGUCAAGGAGAGGUCAAGCAUAGGAGGAUAACGGGUCAAGAUAAGGCAAGGUGACAAAUACACUUAAUGGAGUACUCGAGGUAAGUGAAUUUCGAUUCACUUUUUAGUAGGUUUAAUAGAUUUUAAUACUUAUGUUUACGAAACAUCAUGAAAGAACAUGUAAUAAUCAGAAGUACAAAGCCAAUAAUGCCUCAUUAUUGAGGAAGGUUGUAUUUAAGCCGAAAGUAAAUUGGUGGGUUUAAACGGGUCGAAUUUUAUGUGCAUAUGUUGCGUAAUGUAAUGAAAUUCGUUAUGGUUAAGACCUUGGGUAGGAAUUUUUAGUCAUUAUGUAAGGGGAACACUUCCCGGACCAUUAGGAACAAGUUUUAUAUGAUUCGGUUGUCGGUUAGUUAAUGAACGGAUUGUUUCAUGUUAGUGUAGGAAAUUUUAUAAGUAUAUGUGUAUAGGAACCCAAAGGGCACGUGGGUUGAAUCAUAGAUUGUCUAUACUAUGUAAAGUUGUGAAUGUGACAUUCCGGCAUAAACCUACAUGUAAAAGAAGCUUGUGUAUAUAUUCGUGAUUAAUUGAUUGUGCGUAGGAAGGAACAUUGGCAUGUAUGAAGGUACGCAUGUAUAUGUAAGUGUGUGUAUAUAUAUAUAUGUAUGUAUGAUAAUAAGUACGUAGGUGUGAAUGUAUGUGUGAAUGAAUGUUCAAUGCUUAAGACAUAUGCAUGAACGUUAUCAAAGUGUUCGAGUAUUUAUGGUUACUAAUGAUGUGCGUUGAGUUGGAAUGUAAUGUAGGUAUGGGAUCGUUGGCUUCAUGAAGAAAUGGAGCUGGAUUUGGAUAAGAGUAUUUAAGAAAGCGCUUGGACAAUUCCACGACUACUUUAUAGAAUGCUCUACGAAAUUCUAUUAUAUAGUUUAAUGUUGUAUGGUAUGUUAAUGACUAAUGGUUUGGUUGUGCGUGGUGUCCAUAGGUAUCGCUUGGGUUUUCUCUACAUUUAUUGAAGUGAAGCGGACUUAGUUCGAGUUGAGAGCAAGGAUUGUACGGGGUAGAAUGGUCACAUAGUGUAAUUCAUAUAGAUUUUGAAGUAUUUGAACCUUCAUGUGUUUGAUAUGUCUAUUAAAGAACGAAAUUUUUGGGCUCUUGUUUUCCGCUGCGUCGUAUUUUAAGUUAUUACACGUUAGUCU
rnacentral:lncRNA from 1 species